rnacentral:rRNA from 1 species
UACGUAGGCACCAAGCGUUGUCCGGAUUUAUUGGGCGUAAAGCGCGUGUAGGCGGUUCGGUAAGUCGGCUGUGAAAGUCCAGGGCUCAACCCUGGGAUGCCGGUCGAUACUGCCGGACUAGAGUUCGGAAGAGGCGAGUGGAAUUCCCGGUGUAGCGGUGAAAUGCGCAGAUAUCGUAAGGAAGACCAGUGGCGAAGGCGGGUCUCUGGACAGUUCCUGACGCUGAGGCACGAAGGUCAGGGGAGCAAACGGGG